rnacentral:lncRNA from 1 species
GAGAAGGGAGCACAGACUCAGUAAAAGCCUUGCGUUGUUAGUCCUGCACUGCUUACAAGAGAUGCGACUCCAGCUCCAGAUCAUCAAAGAUAGGAAACCUGAAGCUCAGAGCGAGUUUAUAUCUCAUCCAGAGCUACAAAGUAAGAGGUCGGAGAGUGAAACCCAGCAGUCUGACUGUUGCCAUAACCCUGAGCUGAUUCCCAAGGAAUCCCGCCUCCCUCUCCUGGGAAUAACGAGAGCAUCUCCCUCCUCAGGGUCCUGUAGGAUGAAGGCAGAUGAUGCUCAUAGAGAGCCCAGGACAGCGUCUGAGGCACAGUCAGCACUAGGAAAUUGAAGUUACCAGAGGCACAAGGUUCUUUCUCAGCAAGGCCCUCCAAGCCGGAAGCUGCAGCCAUUUUCUCUGGGCCCUCAGAAAAGACAGCUGCCUGCAGAUGGGCUUCAUCAUUUUGCACCUGUUGAUCUCACCCAAAAGUGACAUCCUCACCACCCAAAGAGGAACCUCUCCAAGGUCUAGUGGAGGGGAGGGGAGUGGAGCCAGGGGGCAGUGGCUGUAACCCAAGACCAGUCAGUUCUCCUGUUCUGGAAACCAUAAAAGGAAUCCCUGGGGGAUCUGUUUAGUCUUCUAGUUCUGAUUCUAAAUUCAAUAAGGGACUUUCCAGACUCAAAGUAUAAAUCAGGGCCAGGGCUUAUCUCCACUGAAAGCUGAGGUGGCUUCCAGAACAGCAAGUCUAGGCGCACCAUGGUCUCAUCCCCUACAGGCCACCCAUGGACCUGGAGGAAACUGAUUGAAUAAUGAACCUUGAGAAGACUGCAGGCUGAAAGGACCAACCAUCCUCUAUCGAGACUAGAUGUUUUUAUACGACAAAUUCCUUCUGGCCUAGACUGGGGAAACUGAGGCCCAGAGGAAGCAAGGAACAAAGUAAAUCCAACCUGAGUGAUCAAGGAGGGCCCUGAGACCUGGGGCGGGCCUGAGAAGACAUGGGCCUGGGGAAAGCUGUCCUGCUGGUGUCCUGGUCGUUAAGAUGCAACAUCCACUCCUAAGCUUGGGCUAGGGCUUUAAAUUUUGCACACAAAGAACCAGAGGAAUCGAAUUACCUGUUCUUCUUUCUUUCUCUGCUGCCAACCCCCAAAGAGGGCUAAGAACCAAGAAACUGGAGUCUAGACCAAACUACAAGAUUCCAAAAACACUGCACCAGCUGUGAAUAACCAGUAGACUUACGGUCUUUGUGAUGAGGAAUGGCUGCUUUAUUUGUCCCCCUGCUGGAGUAUCAGUUGUAAAAGAGACUAACGAGGAAAGGAGAGAAAAGUUUAAAAGAAGAGCUAAUAAGAAGGGGCAUGUGGCUUCUCUUCUAC